rfam:TPA: Bos taurus chromosome 4, whole genome shotgun sequence.
UCCCUGAUGGCUCAGUCGGUAAAGAAUCCGCCUGCAAUGCCGGAGACCUGGGUUCGAUCCCUGGGUUGGGGAA